GGAAGUGGGGAUGACGUCAAGUCCUCAUGGCCCUUAUGCCCAGGGCUACACACGUGCUACAAUGGGCGGUACAAAGGGUAGCGAUGCCGCGAAGGCGAAGCCAAUCCCAAAAAGCCGUCCUCAGUUCGGAUUGGAGUCUGCAACUCGACUCCAUGAAGCCGGAAUCGCUAGUAAUCGCGGAUCAGCAUACCGCGGUGAAUACGUUCCCGGGCCUU
rnacentral:rRNA from 1 species